UUUUUCCAAGACCUCUAAUGAUAUCGGAAGCUAACUCUACCAUGGAAAAGGUAUGCUUACAAAUAUUUUUUCUUGAGUUUUAGGCAAAGUUUAAAUAUCUUUUAUCCUAAAGAUACUAUUAUAUUUUCACCCAGAAAUUAGCAAAUUUCACAUGCAAAAUACCAAAUAGUCAUUGGAGAAAAAGUGAAUAUGAGAGAAGAUAGCAUCUAGAAUAAUCCCUAGUUUAAAGAAAAGGUAAAUGUAAUGUCACAUAUUUAAAAUGUCUAUUUACAUGUCUCAUCAAUAUUACAAAAUGAAGAUGCAACUCAAAAACCUGCAUUCCUAAUGCUUUUUACAUAGUCAACGUAACUGAUAACCCAUCUCUCCUGAGUUUAGAUAUAAGGAAACACUAUGAGUGUUUUCCCAACUCCCCAUCCUAAAAGUAUCAUUUGAUGUGAUAGACUUCACUUUUAAAAUACAAAUACCCUGAAGAUGUUAUGCCAUUACUUCUCAGCAAUUUCUGUGGCCACAUUAAUUGAUAAUUUGUUUGUUUUGCUUUGAGCUUCAAAAAGUAGCAUCAAUCAAAGGGCAAGACUAAUGCUUGAAGGAGUGUAGGGCAAGAGGGGAAAACCAGGACUUAAAGGAAGACUGUUAUGGGACACAAUAGUCAGCUGUGGAUACUUUGCAUAUGGCAUGAGGAUAUUAGCCACCUAGAGAUUAAGACAAGAAUGAUGUCAGAAAGUGAAAGAGAAGAAAGAAACAGGGCAUGCCCCAAGAACUUAUUUUGUUACUUUUGUAAAUACAACUGAACCAGUUAGAGCCACUAUCCAGAUUUAUUAUAUAUCCAUAGCAGUAAAAAUAAAAGCAAAAAAUAAUAAAUAUUGAAUCAACACAUCAUAUUUUUGUAUGUACUUAUUUAUCAAUAUCUGUGUAUAAUCCUUCCUAUAGUGAAUAAUUUGGAAUUCAGUGGCUUUGGGGAUGGACUAUGGAGUCAGAGAACAGUUAAAAUUCCUAGCUCUAAUUAUUUGUAGCCAUGUGUUCUUGUAUGAGAUAUACAAUCUUUUUAAACCUAAGUUUUAAAAAAUUUAUCUUGUAAAAUGAGGAUAAUAAUGGUACGUAAAUUAUAGAAUAGCUGAAAGAUGAAAUGGCAUAUCCCAUGCAAACUGCUUAGCACAUGACUUGCUCAGUAUAAAUAUUCAGUGAAGGCUGCCUAUUUUGUUAUAGAUCAGCAAGAGUUCUGCUUGCCUCUGGAACACACUGGUAAUGACAGAAAACAUGCUUAAAAGUAUAGUUAUUAAGACAGAGUUGGUCUUCGCCUUUCCCAUACACGCUGUUACCACCACCACACAAGCCACUAAGAUUCUAAAAGGAGAAAGCAAAAAAAGCAAGUCCCAUCAGAUUUUCUGUUCUAUUUUUCUAACUCAUAAUUACCAGAGAUGAAGCCCAUGUAAUUUAUUUGCAUUGUUUCACUGUUUGACACUAUGUUUAGUUACUUUUCUGUUAGUUUAUUGCUUGCUGCUGGUCCCCGUGGAACCCUUAGGACACACUUCAAAAUGAAAUAUUUUUUAUCCCAAUUAAAAUAUUUUAAUGAAUUAAGAUCCUGAAAGUGCUUGAUGAUGACUAGCAGCACUAUCUUAUACAAUGGAAAAGAGUUCUUAGAGAGCACAAAACUGUGACAAAGAACCAGCAAAAAUGACACCUAGCUCAUAUAUUUUAGAGGAGACGAUCGUAACAUCAGGAAAUAUAACAUAAUAAAUUAAUGUCUAUGCCAGAGAAUAUUAUCUUGCUUAUCCACUGCCUUUAUAUAUGGAUACAGGUAGGCUUUUAAAAUUAGUGUUUUUUAUUUUGUCUUAAGAGAGGAUGGUGCAUUUGCAGCAUCUCUCCCCAGAGUCUCUUUUUCAUUAAUACUAAAUAUUAUGCUUGCUAAAUUUGUAUUGUGAACACAAACUUGUAUCCCAUCUACACUAAUGUAGAACUCCAUUAAAAAGUAAAGGUUUUAUAGAGGGUUUAUAUCGCUCUCUUACUACUACCCCAAAUUAAAUAUAAAAUAUUUUAAUAACUAUCAUAGGCUUUAGUCCAAACAAGGCCAAGAUCUAGAGAUCACCUCUCACAGUCUAGAAAAUACAAUCAGGAGAGAGUCUGGCCCAUAAAACUAUUACUCCUUUACCACUGAAGUUCUCCUGGGGAGGGACUUUUUACAUUAAGGAUACAUCUAGCUAAUCUCUUUCCAAACCUUUAUUCACUUAUCCAAUUAGAAAAUGUAUGGGAAAACCUGGGCAUCUAGGCUCAGCCCCAGACUGUCCUCCUCUGUAAUUUAUUUUCCUCUAGCAGCAGCCAUCCCCACCUCGUUGCCUAGUACUGAAGUUCAGUGUGGGGAAGUCCAUUGAUCUCUUACCUAAACCUGCACUCUCUAUCAUCUGUUUAAUCCAUGUGAAAUUUGAUAUUUUCACCUUUAUUUUAUUUCCUAAAUUCUUCAGAACUUAGGCAAGAAGUUUGCUCUUUAGCAGCUCCAUUGGAGACCUCAAAAAAGCUAGUGAGGUGUAGUGAGAGAGGUGGGGCACUGGGGCACAGAGGGACUGGUGAGUGAAGCUUAUGACGGAGCACAAGAAAUGAGGCCAAAGAACAAAAGAGAAGCAAAGUUGAUGGAAUUAUAAUGCACAGUUGGAGCCUGGUCAGAAGAAAGUUAGGACACUUAUCACUGCAUCAUGAAAUUAGUGUAUUAAGUUGGAGUGGAUCAUCAAAAAGAUUGACAACACAAUGAGCAAAAUGGCCAUUUUAAUGAUAACCAUCAACACACCCACUAACACUAGCACUUAUUGAACAAUUAGUGUGUGUGGAGCACUAGGUUAAGAACUUUAAUGCAUUAAUACAUUUAAUCCUUUAACCACCCUGAUAGUUAGGUACUUAGCUCUUAGCCAUUACUGAUCAAGGAUUUCUUAAAUUAGCCCCAGGUUGGAGCAGAGCUAGGUGAGAAUCUAGAAUAAUGUUAUACAUACAGGUAGGAGGUAAGUGGCCAUAAUUUUAAAGGUUACAGGGGUGAUUCAUUAUAGUUAAUAGUUCUUUGCAGACUACAAAUGUAGAAGCCUUUGUGAAUCAGAACCACACAUCCUAAAUUCUGAAGAGACCUACUGUGAUCUUCUGACUUACUCUUUGAUCUUUAGACAUUAUCUCCACUUUGCAGAGGAAAACAUCUGAGGCACAGAGAGGUUAAGUGACUUGCUGAAGAUCAUACAGUUACACUGAUAGAAAACUAUAAAAUCAUACCUUAUUAAGUCUUGGAAACCUAUUGGUAACCUUUUGAGUAACAACUGUUUGAAGAGCCAAAUUAAUCUUUUCCAGAACUUGCACUAUUCAUGGGUUUUUCCUUCCCCCUACUAGAGUUCAGACACUUGGAGCUUGCUGCUUAAAAUAACUACCUCCCACCCCCACCUUCUUCAGCAUGGUGACUGCUGGAUCCAUUUGCAGUCUGUAAUUCCCUGGGAGGUGCUAACUCCUGCAGCUUUCCUCUCUGUGAACUGAAGUCUCCAUCUAUACAAUUUCAUUGCUCAUAAAGAUGAGCAAAAAGGAGAGCACAAACAAAUCCAAUUUACCCAUUUUUUGGUAUCUAGAAUACAUGUGGAGACAAAAUUGGUGGUUUGCCUCAGCUCUACUUGCUAGGAUAAUUUGGGGUGAUAUUGCAACUAAACGUUAUGUUUAAACUAUGCCAGUCACACUGUGCAUUUUAAAGGCCACAUUACAAGUCUCAUUACCUUUCUAACAUAUCUGAGAGUAUAAGUAAAUUUCAAAGAAAAAUGGCUUCCAUGAAUAUAAAAUUAUGUCACCCUUAAUUACACAUUGUUAUUCAAGGUACAGAGAAGCCCCGUUUGUUUCACCUUACUUCUACUUUGAGAUGAUUUUCACCGAGGAUGAAGUUUUUCAAAUGCAUUUAUUUCAAAAGUUGUUUGUCUUGCUCUUUGUGCUUAUGUAUAAACAUACUAACAUACGUUUUCAAUCCCUAAAAUGUAUAUUGUUGAUCUGUGUUUCUAAUUUUCUCUUCUUUAAAAUUAAAUAUAUUAUCAAGUCCUGGACAUCUUUAGUCACAAAAUAAUAUAGACUUUUCUCGUGUGUGUGUGUGUGGUUUUUAAAAAAUUUUCUCAGCAAUAUUAUUUGCCUCAAUUUGGAUGGCUGCUGACUGAUCAGGGAGGUGGUUGUUGAAGUUUGGGGUGUCUGUGACAAUUUCUGAAAAUAGGACAGCAAUGAAGUUUGCCCUAUCUACUGACUCUGCCUUUCAUUACAGAUUUCACUAUAACAUGCAAUGCUGUUUGAUAGCAUUUUAUCCACAAGAAAACUUCUUUUAAAAUUGGAGUCCAUUUUCUGAACCCGUGCUGCUGUUUUAUCAACUAAGUUUAAGUAAUAUUUUAAAUUAUUUGUUGUCCUUUCAACAAUGUUCACAGAAUCUUCACUAAGAAUAGAUUUUGUCUCAAGGAACCACUUUCUUUGUUUAUCCGUAAGAAGCAACUACUCAUCUGUUCAAGUUUUAUCAUGAGAUUGCAACAAUUCAGUCACAUCUUCAGCCUCUACUUCUAAUUAAAAUUCUCCUGCUAUUUUCACCACAUCUACAGUUACUUCCUCCUUUGAGAUUUUGAACCCCUCAAAGUCAUGCAAGAGGGUUGCAAUGAACUUCUUCCAAACUUCUGGAGAACUUUCACGCAGAAAACUAACAAAGAAAUUCUGGACUUAAACUUGACACUUGCCCAGUUGGUCUUAAUAGACAUCUAAAGAAUACUCCACCCAGCAACUACAGAAUAUAUAUUCGUCUCAUCUGCAGACACAACAUACUUUAAAAAUGACUGCAUGUUUGGUCAGAGAGUCUCAACAACUUUGGAAAAAUUAAAAUUAUACCCAACAUAUUCUCAGGUCAAAUGAAAUGCAAAUAGAAAUUAACACCAAGAAGAAUUCUCAAAACCACACAAAUACAUGGAAAUUAAACACAUUGAUCCUGAAUGACCUUUGUAAAGCAAGAAAAUUAAGGCAAAAAUCAAAAAAUUAUUUGAAAAAAACAAAAAUUGUGACACAGUAUAACAAAACCUCUGUGAUAUUGCAAAAGAAGUGAUAAAAUUUGUAGCACUAAAUGCCUACAUCAGGAAAAUAGAAAUAUCUUGUUAACAACCUAACAUUACACCUAAAGAAAUAGAGAAAGAAGAACUAAAUUCUAAAUGAAGAACCCAGUUCUAGCAGAAGAAAAGAAAGAAUUAAAAUCAGGACAGAACUAAGUGAAAUUGAGAUAAAGAAAACUAUUCAAAGGAUCAACAAAAUGAAAAGUUUGUUUUUUGAAAGGAUAAACAAAAUUGAUAGACUGCUAGAUAAACAAAGGAAAAAAAGACAGAAUAUCCAAAUAAGCACAAUCAGAUAUGACAAAGGUAACAUUACAACUGAUCUCACAGAAAUAUAAAAGAUCCUCAGAGAUUACUAUGAACAUCUCUAUGCACACAACUAGAAAAUCUAGAGGAAAUAGAUAAAUUCCUGGAAAUAUACAACCUCCCAAGAUCGAAUCUGGAAGAAAAAGACACCCUAAAGAGACCAGUAAUGAGUUACAAAAUUGAAUAAGUAAUAAUAAAAAACCUACUAACCAGAAAAGCACUGGACCAGAUGGAUUUACAGCCAAAUUACACCAGAUGUACAAAGAAGGUGUGGUAUCAAUCCCAUUGAAACUAUUCAUAAAAAAAAAAAAAAAGAAACUGAGGAGGAGUGAUUC